rnacentral:rRNA from 1 species
UUUGUUACUUCAAACCAAUCGGACUUCGGUCUGACAUCAAGUGAUAUUGAACAAUUUAGCUGAUCGCACGGUCUAAGAACCGGCGACAUAUCCUUCAAAUGUCUGCCUUAUCAACUUUCGAUGGUAGAUUAUGCGCCUACCAUGGUUGUAACGGGUAACGGAGAAUCAGGGUUUGAUUCCGGAGAGGGAGCCUGAGAAACGGCUACCACAUCCAAGGAAGGCAGCAGGCACGCAAAUUACCCACUCCCGGUACGGGGAGGUAGUGACGAAAAAUAACAAGCUGGCCUCAAUGAGUUCCAGCAUUGUAAUGGGAACAAUUUAAAUCUUUUAUCGAGGAUCUAUUGGAGGGCAAGUCUGGUGCCAGCAGCCGCGGUAAUUCCAGCUCCAAUAGCGUAUAUUAAAGUUGUUGCGGUUAAAAAGCACGUAGUUGGAUCUAGGAUUAGGGCUACGGUCGUUCAGCUUGGACGUACUAUAUGCCCGACUCCUUUUCUCUAGUAUUCGAUUGUUGCUCUUAAAUGAGUGACUUUAGUUGCUGGAACUUUUACCUUGAAAAAAUUGAAGUGCUCAAAGCAGGUU